UAAAAAUUUUAUGAUUUAAAAAAUUUUAUUUAAAUUUAUUUUACAUAUAAAUUUUAGUAUUAAUUUUAUAUUAUUUUAAUAAUAUUUAUUUAAUUUGUAGUAAUUAAAAUUAAAAAUUUAAGAAAUUAAGAUUUAGUAAUAUUUAUAAAUUAUAAACAAAUUUUGUGCCAGCAGUUGCGGUUAUACAAAAUAUAAUUAAAAUUUUAUUAGUUAAUAAUUAAUAUUAUUAUUUAAUAUUAAAUUAAAAAUUAUUAAGUGAAAUUUUAAUUUUUUUUUAAAAUUAAUUAAUUAUAUGAUUUAUGAAAUUUUAUAAAAAACUAGGAUUAGAUACCCUAUUAUUAAAAUUUAAAUAAUUAUGCUAAAAGAGUAUUUAAUAAUUUAAAGAAACUUAAAUAAGUUGGCGGUAUUUUAGUUAAUUUAGAGGAAUCUGUCCAAUAAUUGAUAAUCCACGAAUAAAUUUACUUAAUUAUUUUAUUUUGUAUAUCAUUGUUAAAAAAAUAUUUUUAAAUAAAAAUAAUAUUUUAAAAUUAAGAUAAAAAAUUAAUUCAAAUCAAGAUGCAGAUUAUAAUUAAGAAUGAGAUGGAUUACAAUAAUAUAAAAUUAAAUGAAUAAUAUUUUUUAAAUAAUAUUUGAAAGUGGAUUUAAAUGUAAUUUUAUUUAAUUUAAUAAAAUGAUUAUAAAUUAAAAUAUGUACAUAUUGCCCGUCGCUUUCAUUAAUAAAUUGAAAUAAGUCGUAACAAAGUAGAAGUACUGGAAAGUGUUUCUAGAAAGAU
rnacentral:ncRNA from 1 species